CUUCUGAACUCAACUAACACGCUAAACCUUUACACUUUAAAAUAAAUAUUAUAUGUUAUCUGUUAGAUGUUUAGACUUGAUGAAUGAUACUACAUAUGCAGUGUAUAGAAAAGCAUAGACGAGACAAAUUAAUAGAGAAUGGAGAGGAAAGAGAAAAGUAACCCAUUCGAUACGGUUGGUGUUUUCUCUCGUAUAUUUUUCUGUUGGGUUUUUCCAUUAAUAAACGAGGGAAGAAAGCGAGUUUUGACGGAAAAAGAUUUAUUCGAAAUUUCAAAAUAUUAUUCUUCAGAGUAUCUUGGAGAUUUGCUUCAGAAAGAAUGGAACAAGGAAUUGCAGAAGGGGAAUUCGAGCAUACUGAAAGCUUUAUUACGUUUCGUUGGUUGGAAAUACUUAAUAAUAAUGUUACUUUCAAUCAUUCAGGCAACGUUGUUAACUGCAGGCCAAGCAUACUUCGUAGGAUUAAUAAUAAAUUAUUUUGAGAACAGACAGGAAUUGAAUCAAUACAACAUUUAUGCUACAGUUGCGGGAUUUUUUGGCCUAAUUGCGAUUUAUUUGUUUGUAGUUAAUAUUCUUGUGUUUAUAACUGAAUUACAUGCAAUGAAGUUAAAGAUAGCUUUCUGCACUCUUACAUAUAGAAAGGCAAUUAGGUUAUGUCCUUCGUCUCUGGAAAGAUCAAAUGUGGGACAAAAGGUCAAUCUCCUAGCGAAUGACGUCAGCAAAUUCCAAAAUAAUGUUGCCUGUCUUCCACCUUUAGUUAUGUCUCCUUUUUUCAUCAUUACUUCGAUAGCCAUGUUGUGGAAGUAUUAUGGAUGGACUAUUCUAAUUGGAUUCUUAGUCAUAUUUAUCUAUCUUCCUAUACAAAUUGCUUUCAGUAAACUAUAUUCAAAAUUGAGAUUACAAGCAGCUGUAUUGGGAGACGAAAGAUUGAAUCUGUUGAACGAGAUGAUUGCUGAUAUGAGAUUAAUCAAGAUGUACACCUGGGAAUCGCCAUAUGCCGCUUUAAUAGAAAAAAUCAGAAUGAAAGAAAUGAAAAAAAUUCGAAUGUUUUUAUAUGCAAGUGGAAUAUUAAUUAUAUUGGGUUAUCCUAUAUCGAAAUUAUUUACUUUCUUCACAUAUCUCGCAUUUCUUUUAAAUGGAGGACAAUUAAAUGCCGAAAUUGUAUUCGUCACAAUGACGUUUUCAAUGUAUAUCUUCAUCUACAUUAUUUGUCUAGUUUCUCACGCAUUGGGAUCUGUUGCAGAAAUUUUGGUUUCAUUAAAGAGGAUACAGAAUUUCCUCCUCCUUCAAGAAAAAGAUAACAAUGCAGUCAAAACUGUAGAAGAGGAAAAAAAUUUAACAGAAUACGAAAUACGAAUGGAUAGGGUCGCAGCUGCUUGGAAAAAAGGAUUUGAACCAACAUUAAAUGGAAUAUCACUAAACAUGCAGUCUGGAGAAUUAUUAAUUGUCAUAGGCCCUGUUGGAUCGGGGAAGACGUCUUUAUUAAUGUCAUUGUUGGGAGAGAUUCCAAUUACUUCUGGUGAAGUGUCGGUGAAAGGAAAGAUCUCAUAUGCUUCUCAAGAAUCUUGGGUGUUUAACGCGACUAUCAAAGAAAAUAUCUUGUUCGGAGAAGAAUAUCAAGAAGACAAAUAUAAAGAAAUCUUGCAUAUAACGGCUCUAGAAAAGGAUAUUAGCUUAUUUCCUAAAGGAGAUCUGACUAUUGUAGGAGAAAGAGGAGUGAUAAUGAGCGGUGGACAGAAGGCACGAAUUAAUCUAGCAAGAGCGCUAUAUCUGGAUGCUGAUAUUUUCCUCCUGGAUGAUCCACUGAGUGCUGUUGAUGUUCCAGUGGCUAAACAUAUAUUCGAAAAAUGUAUAAUAGAAUAUUUGAAAGACAAGAUUUGCAUUCUCGUUACGCAUCAAAUUCAAUUUUUAAACUCUGCAAGCAAAAUUUUAGUGUUAAAGAAGGGAAAAUGUGAAUUCUUUGGAAAUUUCAAUGAAUUGGAAAAUUUAGAAAUACAUACAGAUGUUCUGCGAAAAGAUGUCUCUGAAAAUAGCAUUGAUCUAGAGACUGCAGUUUUCAAUGAUAAUGAUAUAAUUGGAAUUCCUCAAUGUGAUAUGAAUGAUGACAUUGAAGAGAGUAACAAGAGUAAUGAGGAAUCCGAAAAUAACCAAACACUACAUGACAAUGAAGGAGUUAAGAAACUAGGAAUUUCAGUUUAUAAAUCAUACGUGAAUGCCGGAGCCGGAAAUUUCUUCAAGAUUGUUAUUUUAUCUAUGUUAAUUACAGCGCAAUCCCUUAUAUGUGCCAGCGACUAUUGGCUAAUCAAAUGGUUGCGAGAUAUUAGAAUCUAUAGCCAAAGUAUAGAGAAUCUCGACAAUAUUACAUCUAACACAAGUAUUUUUCACAACAUUGAAGACAAUGAUUUUUAUCACACUGAAUAUUUUAACUUGUAUGUUUACAUUGGAUUGACAUGUGCUGUAUUUCUAACAACGUUACCUUCUGGAUUAUUGGUAUACAGAUUCUUUACAAUGGCUUCUUUCAAGCUGCACAACAAUAUGUUUCGUUGUAUCAUUCGAACUCCGAUAUCAUUUUUGGAUAACAAUCCCGUUGGAAAAAUCUUAAUUCGGUUUUCCAAAGAUGUUAGUUCCAUGGAUAAUUUGUUACCUUUCUUUACUUUCCUUGUGAUAAGAAUAGCUUUUCUUGUUGUCGGCAUGUGUGUUCUUCAAGCAAUACUCUGUCCUUAUCUAUUUCUAAUGAUUGCUGUCCUUUUAGUAAUAUUCUGUGCUUUGUGGACAAUCUUUAGCCGAGUGUUGAAAAGCGUAAAACAUUUGGAAGGAAAAUUGAGAAGUCCAGUAUUUUCUCAUCUGAGUGUAUCUCUUUACGGACUGACGACAAUUAGAGCAUUUAACGCUGAAACCAAAUUUAAAUCUAUGUUUAAUAAGUAUCAGGAUAAGCACACUUCAACGUGGUUUCUUUAUUUGUCUUUGAAUCGAUGGAUUUCCGUAUACGGUCACAUAAUUUGUUUCAUAAAUCUAAUUAUUACUGUUAUUAUUUUUGGUGUUUCAAAUAAUUCAGAUGACGCAGGAAGCCAAAUUGGACUUGUAUUGAAUUACGGAAUAAUAAUAAUUGUAUAUUUUCAACUCCUUAUUGGAUAUACAUCUGAAAUGGAAUUUCAGAUGAACUCGGUAAAGCGCAUUCUGAAAUACAGCAAAUUGAAAUCAGAAGCCUCGUACGAAAGUUCACCCGAUAAACGACCCCCCGCAGACUGGCCACAAAAAGGAGAAAUUCAUUUCGAUAAUGUUUCUUUACAAUACUCCAAGGAUAAAAACAUCGUUUUAAUGAAUUUAUCUUUCCGUAUUCAUUCUGGAGAAAAGAUAGGAAUUGUUGGAAGAACAGGAGCAGGAAAGAGUUCUAUAAUUGCUUCGUUAUUUCGCAUGACAGAGCCAACGGGAACAAUCACCAUCGAUGGAGUCGACACUAAGAAAAUCGGUCUUCGGGAUCUACGUAGUAAAAUAUCAAUCAUUCCUCAAGAUCCGAUGUUGUUUACCGGUCCUCUUCGAAGAAACAUCGAUCCUUUCAAUGAAUAUUCGGAAGAAACGCUGUGGAAAGUCAUAGAAGAGGUACAGUUAAAAGAAGUUAUUAGUAAAUUACCUGGAGGAUUGGAUACACAUUUAACAGAAGGAGGGCGAAAUUUCAGCGUGGGAGAAAGACAGUUAAUUUGUCUGGCCAGAACCAUUCUUCGCCAGAAUAAAAUUCUCGUCAUGGACGAAGCAACGUCCAACAUUGAUAAAAAAACCGAUUCCUGUCUACAGAAAAUAAUUCGAGAGAGAUUCAAAUCUUGUACAGUGUUGAAAAUAGCCCACAGAUUAAACACAAUUAUCGAUUCGGAUAGAGUUAUGGUACUAGAUGUAGGAAAAUUACAAGAAUUUGACUCGCCGUAUGCAUUACUGAAGAACGUAAACGGUACUUUUUAUAAUUUGGUAAAAAAGACAGGAAAAACUUCAAUGAAUGAGUUAUUCAAAAUUGCCAAAGAGAAAUAUUACGCUAAAGAAAGGAUUGAACAAACGAAACUAUAAAACCGUGGAUUGUCUUCAAUGUAUAUUCAUUUGUAGAUCUGGUAUUAUGUUUUUUAUUUAAUCCUGUUCAAAGAGACAUUGUGUCAAGAAGUAUUUCCGCACAUGAAGUAAAACAGAAAAUUAGAAAUGUCUAAACAUUUAUAAUAUAUUUUAGAAAUAUUUACAAUGGUUUAAUGCCGAAAUGAACUGAAUCUUAAAAUAUGAAAGAAUAGUUAAAAAGUUAAAGAACAGACUUUAAUUGAAAUAAUUUAAUACAACUUUUGUUUAUGAAUUUCAUUAGGUAAAUCUUAAUCCAAAAUAUAAUUCAAUAUUAAAUAUGUAUUCUGGCAGAAAUUUGCUUUACCGUAAUAAGUAAAAAUAGAAUUAAACUGUUC
rnacentral:misc_RNA from 1 species